rnacentral:piRNA from 1 species
UGAUAUUUUCAUGUGGGUUCCCAAAUAG